rnacentral:rRNA from 1 species
UACAGAGGGGGCAAGCGUUGUUCGGAAUUACUGGGCGUAAAGGCGCGUAGGCGGCCUUCUAAGUCGAACGUGAAAUCCCUGGGCUCAACCCAGGAACUGCGUCCGAUACUGGAAGGCUUGAAUCCGGGAGAGGGAUGCGGAAUUCCAGGUGUAGCGGUGAAAUGCGUAGAUAUCUGGAGGAACACCGGUGGCGAAGGCGGCAUCCUGGACCGGUAUUGACGCUGAGGCGCGAAAGCCAGGGGAGCAAGCGGG